ACUUUUUAAAAUCUGAAAGCAUACACUCACUAUGGCUGAAGACUAUCAACCUGUAUCAAGGAUGAAAACUACAGCAUUCAAGAAUUUCAAGAUGAACAGUACCGUCUUAAAGUGUCCCUCAGGCAAAAUCUGCUGGAUAUGAAUGUGCUCUUCUCCCAUCCACUUGGCCUCCAGAACAAGAACAAGAAUUCAACCCUGAAUGAAAUGUAUUUUGUACUCCUGGGCACCUGCUGCUGUGUCUUCUGUCUCUGAGCUGGGAGAGGACGGAAGAUUUGAUUUAAAACUUUCUGUAGCCUAUAGACAAUGGAAAAAUCAGACAGUUUCCCCUGUGGAUCAUGUUAUUUUAUCGAUGUGAGUUGAAGUUCCAGAAGAUAAGGAAGAUUGUAGGGUCUGGUGAAUUGAUUGACAGACUGUUUAGUGAAGGAUUUUGGAUUUUGGACCUCAUGUCACUUAACACAGAGUUGAUAAUCCUCAGUCUCCCACAGGGAGAAGCAUGUUGUCCUCCAAACAUGGAAAAACGGAGAGCAAAAAGCUAAUUCCAGAGAAAAAAGGCCACCUCUGUGGCCCUUUACAGCAGCUUCUACAAAAGGCAGGAAAGGAAAGUGCAUCCACUCCUUAGCUGCCACCCUGACUGAUGCCACAGCAGUUCAGCGUUGACAAGUACGCCAUUAUUUUCGUCCUGGAGGUCUGCAAUGUCAUGUGCUUGUGAUCUGUCUUCAGCUGCUAGACUCAGACAAGUUGAAUUGUCCAGGCAGCACUGCAGCAGCAGAGAAGGCCAGCUGUGCCAGGGCCAUAAGCAGGACAGUGUUUUCUGUUUAGUGCCCACCA